ACUAGGAAUGUAGCUGUGAAAGGAACCGUUGGUGACAAGGAUAAACGAAGAAGUGGAGGUCAGGGAAGGUAGAUAGGAAUUGGGAUCAUGUGAGGUAGAAGGCCAAGGUUGUAUCAUUCAUCCAUUUUUGUUCCAUCAGCACUUCAGAAACACACGAGCACAGCUAACCUCAUUGGGUUCCUUUCGCUUUCUGCAUUGCUCACCCUCCUUUCACUUCAUCUACUCUCCUCUCUCUCUCUCCUCUACUAUUCAUUGCAAAAAUAACCCUAUAAUUUUCUCUUCCCCACUUGUUUAUUAAGCUGGAAGGUUGUUACGGUAGAAAAUUCACAUGCACCGUUUCCUCUCAUCCAUAUCACCCGUGAGUCAAAGCUCCCUUCUCACGUGUAACAAGUAGCAGAUACUCACAACCAUCAUGAAACUCGCACGCUUCAACCAUUGAAGAUCUUUUUAUCCUAUCCCCUAUAAAAUCGGGCUACCAUGGGGAUUCAACUCAGUUCCCUUGCCUAUAGAGGGACCUGCUGGUGACGGGUUCCAAGUUGUCCGUUUGAUUAUGACCAGAAGAUUAUAUGGUGAUCGGCGAUGAUGACGGGUGAGUGGAUUCCAUGCUAUUCUUGUCAAGUGAGCAGUUUUUUGCAGAUUAGCCUUUGUUUCGUUGUCUGUUCGACCUUGAACAUAUGGUCUAUAAUCCAUAUGGGAACCCUUGUUUGUCACAACUUCUUUGCAUAAAAUAACCCAAUAUGAGCGAACUCUUAUUACUGUUGAUGCCGAUCAACUCUGGUUACAAUCCGAUAUAAUCAAGUUCCUGCUAUUAUUGAUCUCGAUGAUCAACAUGGAUCCCAAAACAAGUCACCUAUUAGCAUCGGUGCCAGUCCACUUCUGUUAGUUUUGGUCUGCCUUUGUCGUGUUCUUCUCUACUCUCUUCCUCUCUCUUCAUGAAUUAAUAGCCAUGCUGAUAUUUCUUAUCCCAUUAGAUAUGCUGCGUAAUGAUCAAAGUGCAGUAAUAAAUUUUAUGCGCAUGUGUCGGUUUGUGAGCAUAUGUAUAUGUGUACAGCCUUGAGUUUUGUUUACUAAUUUGAAAGCAAACAAUAAGAUAUAGGAUAAAAGAUUGUGGUUUUCUAUAGAUAUCAAUUUCAGCUUUGCACGAAGCUUGCUGGUGCAAUGAAAGUAUUACUUAGAAAAAGAAAAGAGAAUACUAGAUGAUCUAGUUUGGGUACAGGCUAUAUAGUAGAGGGAUUUCCAAGGUAUUUUCAACCUUUGGGAUCUUACGUCUAUCAUCAUCUCAUCAAGUUCAUUGAUAUUGAUUUAGAUCUAUUUAUUUUAAGCCGUCUUCUUUUAUCAUGUUAAUCUAUUUUGGCAUUAAUGGAAAUAGUAAUUAGACCAAGUGGAGUUUCGGUUUUAAUAUGAUCAUAGUACUGCAGCUAUGUAUGAUCGAGAAAAGUUGCUGUGGGAGUUCUGGGUUUUGAUAUGGAUCUGGGUAUAGACUGCAGAUUAGGGAUAUACUACAAGAAAGGGAAGCUCACAUAUGGAAGAUAGUUUUUUAAGAUUGGAAAUAAUGAUCUUGUUUUCAAUUUCUCUCAUUCUUAGACAUAGAAUCCAAAGGAUCCUAGCUAGCAAGAACCUCUUCAUAGGCAAGGGGAGGACAUUAGAGAGAUACUAUGAAGGUUUGAGCGAAAUUAAAGUAAUUAUGAUUGCUCAGGGGUAAUACAAGAAGUGACCUUGUGCAUAGAUCUUAGCUACUAUAAGGUGUUUGAAAAGAUAUAGGUUACCAAGAUACAACUAUUGUAGCUGUAAGUUCUGAAUGAAUCUUUAAAUGAUAGAAGUCUCUUGAUCAGGAUUAACUCAAUAUGACAAAUAUAAGUAGAGUACUUAUUUCAUUUGUUACUUGGGCCCUUCUCUUCAAAAUCUCUCAUACCACUACGAACAAUUGAAAGAGUAAGAAGUAAGAACCGACGGGUGUUCUCUCUGUGCAUGGUGCAUUUAUGGGAAAGCCAUAGAUCUUUUCAACCAAUCUGUGUUUUCACAAUAAAAGUUCAAUUUUUGGUAGAUGAAAAGUUCGGAGCACGGAAAUGCGUAUUAAUAACAAAAUUUAUUCUUCUGCAAACCCGAUCCCCCAAAAAAGCCAUAUACCCGAAAACUGUGAAUAAGGUCAAAAUAUCAUUUGGAAGUUUAGAUGAGUUUUGUGAAACCACCCAUGUUGUAACCGCUAGAAUUAAUGCCUAUUUUCUUUAGAAGUACUGUAUCUGGUGGACACGAAGUCCCAAUUAAUUACCCAACUUUCCAUGUAUCUGUUGGAAGUGGGAAAAUGAUGUUAUGUACUUUAUACAAGGCUAUAUUGUUUGUCUUACUUUCAUUGCAUAUUAUUUUAUUAACCUACUGAAGUAGUGAUCCCCUUAAUGAUUAGGGCAAGUUAGGGCUUUUCUCAGUUUCCUUUCUGAAGUUAGGACAAGUUCCUAUAUCAGCGCUUGAUAUUAAGGUUCUUGUCCUAGUUCCUGUUUAGGGGCCUUCUGUAGGUCAGUGUUUCUUUUAUGCUAAGCGGACCCUCAGGCCUUUGGCAGUGUUAGGAAGAUUGACGACCAUACUACUCAUUGCCCUUUUUUUUUUUCCUAUCGCAAUCAUAUAUUUUUGUAUUCUUGUAGGAUAUCAUUUAAUUUUCUUAGAAGUGUAUGAGCUCAUUUGGAAUGUAAAGGCUCAAAUCAGCUGGUGGUAAAGUUUGAAUAGGGAUGACACUUGGCGGGAGGAACAUGACCCCCAACUCAGAGACCUGAAAAAGUAAGGGGCAUGGGCCGGGGGUCCUUUAAGAGUUGGGACUGCGACUGGGUUGAAAAAUCAUGCUCUGCGAAAGGUCAACAGUGGAGUUCUCAAGCCUUAUUUGGAUUCUAUGAGCUCCUAAUUGGGUCUAGAUUGGAUCUAUGAGCUCCUACUUCAAAAGGUUCAUUUUCAUUCAGUGGCCAACGAGUCUCAAGAUAGAAUUGAACCCAACCCUGACUAUCUCUCUGCUAAUUAAUUAUCCGCGUGUAACUUUACUAGUUAUUGUAGUUAUGAAUGUACAUAGAGAUAAAAAUGGAGUUCCCUAUUGGUUUCAAAUGUCUAUAACAGGACAUUCAUUAGAUGAGAUAUUUUCUGCAUUUAAAUUGGUCACAUAGGAAUUUUAAUUAUGUUUGUUGGUCUUGGUAUUGUGUCAAGCUCUUCCUUACUCUAAACUUCCAAGGUGCAUGGAUGUGUAUGCUCAUUGAAUAGUGAAUAGUAGCACAUAAAAGUCUACUAUUUCGUGCCCUCUAACCCCAAUGUCUAACACCAACACCACUACCUAACAAAUGCGGCCUAACAACCACUUGGUUGAGCGGCAUGGCUCAAAGAAUGGUAGAGGGUACGUUAGGUGGGGUCAUAGGCAGAUAUGUUAAGCCAUUUGGGUCACCCCAGAGUGCAAGAUUUCGAAGAUAGGAAAAGCCAAUUUUGUGAAGGUCGUACUGGCAAUGAACGUAAGGUGUUAGCAAAGGACUGUCCUCUUGACAAGGCUUUGCACGGAAAUCAACACCCUUUCCCUUCAGCUUCAAGAUUCAAUGCUCACAAAGGAAGUGUUCCUCACCUCUCUACUCAGAAAUACAAAGAAAAGGUACCCUUCUUCCCUUCUCUCUUCCUUCUAACAUUUUUUCUUUGGCAAAAUAGAUGGCUCAGGUGGGAGGUUGGGUCCUGGUAAUAAGUCAGAAACAGCCAGCCUAUUUACCGUCAUCGCCACAACUUUCGGCUUGAUUACUGAGAGCACAGAUGGUAAUAUGCAGUGCUGGCAUGAGCAAUGGCUGAACAUGGGUGCCAUGAUAAUUGCAAAGGAAGCUCAAUUAAUGUGUUGAUGUGUUAUUAGAGAAGUCCUAUUUUCACCCAAGGCAGGUACACUUGUCAACUUUUCCUCCAUACUCGAAUUGACUACCCAUACUUUAAGGGAAUGGGAUUUUUCUUCUUCUUCCUGAUCAUGUCAUUUUCUUUCUGAUCAUGUCAUUUUCUUUUUCACCCUAAAAGGAAGCAGACGCCUAUUUUCAAAACUAACACCAUCAACCAUGUUAGACCGUAAAUUGAAAGGUUCAUGGGUUAGAGACUUGCGCAUUCAUCUUUGUCAGAUGGGCAUUAUUGUUGCAAAAGAACUAAGAAACUCAGGAAAAAGAAAAUGAAAGACUGGAAAUCUCCAUGUUCUCGCUGUGAUGAAAUAGAAAACCCCUUUGACAAUAUGUACUUAGACUAUAUGAGCCUCCUUGACAAAUGUUUUUAGGCACGGUUUUUGGUUUUUAGAAAAAGGAAAAAACAGGAAAACACUUAUAGUAAAUAAAAAACUAUUUUUUAAUUGUCUUAACUUAUUUUUUAAGAUUGUUUUUAAAAAAUAAUUAUAUAUAAUUAAAAAUUAAAUAUUAAAUAUAAAAAUUAGUUUUAAAACAUAUUUAAAAAUAUUAAAAUCAAAUUAAAAAUAUUUUAACUUUUCAAAUAAAUUAUUCUACAAAAUAUAAAAGAACAAUUUUCAAAUAUUGUUCUAAAAAACUGUUUUUAUAAAAAAAAUUAAUUCUAAAAAUAUUUAUUAAAUAAGACCUAUAUUAAAAAAAAGAAAAAAAAAGAAGGUUGCUGUCAUGUUCUAAAAAUAUCAAUGGACUGUAUUUUCAUUCUUUAAAUUUGAAUCAUUCUUUAAUCUAAAAUUUGAAUUUAUCCUUCUGAAUUUUCUUCAAUUUGUUUGGUUAAAAUUUAUUUACCCAUUUGAUAUUUCAAACUAUAGUGUAUGGAUUCUAAAUAAGGUCUCAAAAAUUUUCAAAUAUCAUAUAGUUAAAGAGUAAAAAGAAAGCGAGGAUGAGUGAAAUGUCAAUAGCAAGAUGUCAGUGAAAUCAGGGCGAAGGAACUUACUACCAAAAUAAUUUCCAAGUCUAAUGAUGAUGAUGUGAAACCCAAAUGGCAACCUAGACGCCCUAUUAUUAUAUGGCAGUUAGUCAAGGUAAAUAAACCUACCUCUUGUGAUAGCACAAUAGACUCUACUUAAAAGACGAUUUUCUUUUUCUUUUUCAUAUAGAAAAAACCAUAUACUUCCCCUCAUUGACACUCAAUACAAUCAUGUUACAUCAGCAAUCAUAAUCAUGGUGCUGGGAAGGGAGGCAAGUCACGUAAUUCCAAGUGUCGAGGAGUGGGAAAGUCAGUGAACUUUAGCAGGAGAUAGCGGAGGUUUUAUUGGUGCGAGUUGUUUAGCCCCUUUCACAUGGACCCUGGAAAAUGACUUCAAGUUUAUCAACAAACUGUAACAAAUUCUCUCCACUUGUUGCAAUACCCCGAUCCCUUGUCAAUUACAGUUUCCAACAUCCAACAUGAUGCAAUGCACGAUGCUAUAUACCGUCAUUUUAACAAAUUGAAUGUAAAGUUGUCGUUAUUGAUCCUUGAAAUGAUAGAUGAAUGCCCCAGAUCAGAUGGUGAUGUUAUCAGCGCAAUAAUUGGCCGGUGAUAUGCAGGGAUGUCGAUGAUUGUGGAGCAGGCCUGGACGCCACGAAAAUGGUUUCAAAGAAUACAAGAACCAAUUUUGCAGACUAAUGUUGACCUAGAGCUUUUCUUCAAAUUCCUGAAAUAUUGGCUAGGAGUCCAUUCGUGUUAUAUAUAUGGGCUACAGAACUAUAGAGGGAUGCUUCUAAUCAAAUCAUUUGGAUCAAGUGAUAUUUAUGGUUGGGAAGGCGAUAUUUCAUCUUUUAGAUCAAGUUGAAUUUCCUGGUACAAUGUUAUAUGUUCUUUAGGCACUUGACCAUACAUACAUUUAACAAUUUGUUAUUUUUUACUUAUAAAAAGACAAAGAAAUGAAAUCGAAUGGACUUCUGGAUGGGUUAUAAUUGAGUA